rnacentral:lncRNA from 1 species
UAAGCCUCGUCUCCUCCGGCUCCUCAUUUACUUGGCCAUGCAGCAGUCCCCUGCCCACCAUAUGCUUUGAGGCCUCUGUGCCUUUGCCCAGGCCAUCUUCUCUCCUUGCAAGGCUCUCAUCCUCUUCUCCGCAUCAGUAGACUUGUAUUUAUCCUCCAAGGCACAGUUCAAAUGUCAUCUUCUCUCUAGCUUCUCCUACCUAGGGCAGAAUUAAGAAUUCCCUUUUGUGUAUUACACAACAAUUUAUUUAUUGUUGUUAUAGCAAACAUGGGAAAUUGCUAUUUCAAAUACAUGGUGUCAGAAGCUGCUUUCAUAUUCUGGAGAUGUAAUUAAUCUCAAGGAGGAAAUUGACUUUUGAUUUAGAAAAACACGUUAAUGCGCCAUUUCAUUAUAAAUGAAAUACCCAAAGCUUGUAUAGACAGAAGUUACAUGUUUCUGUGAAGCAUAUGGGGAUAUAUGUUAUUAUAAAAACAUUAAUUUACUAGAGGUCUUAAUGUUUUCCUUUUGCACUUCUUUAGAUGUGACCUUAUGCCUAUUCACCCAGGGGAAAAUUUGGAUUUUUAUCACAGAAGACCAAAAGCAAACAAUAUUCCAAAACAGAAUAUUGACAGCUAUAUCAAAGUCAUAGUCUUAAAAAUUAGACAUUGGUAAGAGAAAAGGGAGUUUCUAAAUUUACAAAAGUCUAGGUCCUUAGAGCUCUCUGCUGGGGAUUCAUUCUAGACUGAGAUCACCUCUUUUGGGAGGUGGGCACGCACUGGCCACUUCUGUGUUCCCGAGAUCUUAGAAACACCAGAACCCUCUCCUCUCAACCCUCUGCUACCUCCACAUGGCACUAGAGCCCACAGGAUCUACCUUGGAUCUACAGCUUGGAUCUACCCACACACAUUCUAGAGUCUCACGGGAUCUUCUAGGGAUAUCCCUGGUCUGAUAAAGAGACACUGCCUGUGGAUAUUUUCCUUUGCUAUCCCAAUUGCACUCUCUGUUUUUGUGAGGACACUUGGGAAGAUGAAAAACACUCUGUCACCAUUGUCAUCUUCUCCCUGUAUCACCAACAUCUGACAAAUCAAAUAUUACUUAUAAGCUACUAUGAAAACAAAAGGAAAGGCAAAUUAACCAACAUUUUCAGAAGUCUUCAAAAGUUGUAAAAACCAUUAAAUUCAAUGUAAAAGGACAAAACUUUAAAGUCAAGUUUUUGGCAAAUUGAUAAAAUUGGAGAAUUGAUGAUUUGAUGUAUUAAUUUCUGAUUAGUUGAUGGGUUGAUUUUAGUGAGUUGACGUGUAGUAAAUUGGUGUUCAGGAUGGUCAUGGAGAGGCUUGAACUGGCCUGGAGCCAGGGGCCACAGCCCAGAACACACGGACCCAGGAUCAGGCUGCAGCCUCGCCAAACUGGAAGGAUGUGAGUAGGAGCAGAGCCACGCUGGGGCCACCAGCAGGCAAGGUGGCUGAGCCCCACUGCCCUCGUCAGGGAUAAUCAAUCGCAGAUUAGACCAGCCACGGAAAUGUUGGCGAGCGAUGGGGACAGGCCAAGGAACUGGGGGCAGAGAACCAUCAGAAAAGAGAAAAAAUGCCACCUAGACCCAGCUUCCCACAGCCAGCACGCUCUGUAAGUUCAUCCUCUGGAGCGAUGCACCAGCAAACAGUCAGAUCUAAGGUCCAGAAUGGAAA